CAAGUCUUGACAUCCUCCUGGAUACAGGGUAAUGCCUGUAGGCCUUCGGGACAGGAGAGACAGGUGGUGCAUGGUUGUCGUCAGCUCGUGUCGUGAGAUGUUGGGUUAAGUCCCGCAACGAGCGCAACCCCUAUCUUUAGUAGCCAGCGAGCAAAGUCGGGCACUCUAGAGAGACUGCCGGGGAUAACCCGGAGGAAGGUGGGGAUGACGCCAAAUCAUCAUGCCCCUUAUGAUUUGGGCUACACACGUGCUACAAUGGCGUAAACAGAGGGAAGCGAGCCUGUGAGGGGGAGCAAAUCCCAAAAAUAACGUCCCAGUUCGGAUUGUAGUCUGCAACCCGACUACAUGAAGACUGGAAUCGACUAGUAAUCGCAGGAUCAGAAUCGCCGGCGGUGAAUAUCGUUACCGC
rnacentral:rRNA from 1 species